UAUUGAUGGCCGAGAUAAAGCUGGUUUAAGAUCUGCUUCUAACUCUUUCGUUGCCUUUUGGUAAAGAAAACCCCUCAUGAUCUGGCCUCAAAUCAGGUAGGACUACCCGCUGAACUUAAGCAUAUCAAUAAGCGGAGGAAAAGAAACUAACAAGGAUUCCCCUAGUAACGGCGAGUGAAGCGGGAUGAGCUCAAAUUUAAAAUCUGGCUGCCUCAGGUGGUCCGAGUUGUAGUCUCGAGAAGUGUUUUCCGCGUUGGCCUGUGUACAAGUCCUUUGGAAUAAGGCGUCAUAGAGGGUGAGAAUCCCGUCCUUGACACAGAUCCCCAAUGCUUUGUGAUGCGCUCUCAAAGAGUCGAGUUGUUUGGGAAUGCAGCUCAAAAUGGGUGGUAAAUUCCAUCUAAAGCUAAAUAUUGGCGAGAGACCGAUAGCGAACAAGUACCGUGAGGGAAAGAUGAAAAGCACUUUGGAAAGAGAGUUAAACAGUACGUGAAAUUGUUGAAAGGGAAACGAUUGAAGUCAGUCAUGCUCGUAGGGAUUCAACCGGUUCUGCCGGCCUAUUUCCCUACUUGCAGGCCAGCAUCAGUUUUGACCGGUGGAAAAGGUUGGAGGGAAUGUGGCAUCCUCGGAUGUGUUAUAGCCCUCUUUCGCAUACAUCGGUUGGGACUGAGGAACGCAGCACGCCUUUAUGGUCGGUCUUCGGACACGUACGUG
rnacentral:rRNA from 1 species